AUUACCGGCAGGUGGAGGAGGCAAGGCUUUAUUACCACUUCAAUGGCCUCAAGUUUCCAAAUCACCAAUACAUGGUAGCUGCAUGUAAAAAUCACGAAAACAUGGUACCAUGAAAUGCUCGGACCCUUUUACCGUUCAAUUGGAACGACGUCGUUUUGCUUUAAGUGUGUGAAUAUCAGAAGUUUCUCUCUCUUCUUCCACGUUCUCCAUCGUUUCUCACGAGCCCUAGAAUUUCUCUCUACAACUUCACCCCAGCCCUCCUCCAGUCUAGUUUUCCCUUUCUCAAAUGCUCCAACUUUCCUUUGAAAUUCUAGGGUUUUUGUACGAAACAAAAUAGAGAAAUUUCUCACAUAAGAAAGACGAUGGAGACGAUUUCUCAAAGAAGAAAGGGAAUGGAGAUGAUUAAUUUGUGUCUUUUCUGUAAUCAGUCCCAUGGAUUCUUCUAAUUUCCCAAAAGGUAUUCUUCUCUCUUUACAUCCACACCCUUCCCCAAAUGGUAAUCACUAGGGUUUGCAAAGCUCCAAAGCUAGAGAUUUGUCUUUGUAAUUUUGUCAGAGAGAAGAUGAUUUGUGUCUUCUCUGUAAUGAGUCGAACUAACCAAAACGGUAAUUUUGGGUGAGUUUUUUUUUUUUUUUGGAGGUGAAAUCCAUGGGCUGUGAGUUCAUUUGUGUUGAGCAUAGAAAGCCCUUAAGCAUUGCCUUGUGGAUCUAUUUUGGAUGUUAUAUCAACAUUUCUUUAGCCCGAUUCUCCUUCCAACAAUUCUUGAGGUGCGUGAAAAGGCUGUGGGAGAAACUGUAAGGAUCAAUCCGAGAUGUGUGUAAGAUGGCACGAGACACCCUAGCAUUACCAAAAAAGAAGAAGAAACAACUACAUUUUUUGGGGUGAAAUCUUUGACCCGAAAGAAAAAAUAUCUUGCAUCUGAAAAUAUUGUCUCGUGACAGAACAAGCCUAAGGUUUUUUUUUCUUACGAGUAUCAUAGAUACAUAAUCACGAAAAGCUUUCAUGACAGACAUAGCUAUGAAGGUUGUCUUUUUUUUUUUUCCCCUCUUCCAAAGUCUUAGGUCUGCUUUGAAUUGUCUUCUGCAAUUAAUGAAUUAUGUUCCUUUGCUUCCGUUUUAUUGACCGGGUAUGAAACUUUUGAUUGUUCGAUACUAUGUGGGAGGAGACUAUUACUCUUGGUCCUGGUGUACGAGAUGGGGAGAAUGUUUUCAGUGUUGCCCACAUCUUUGCUUCUUUUAAUGAAACAUUCAUCAGGUGGAUCCAAAUGUGGAGCAUGAAGAAGCACCUGGUUCAGAUGGAAUGGAUGGUUUUUUAUCUGAUCAAGCAAAUGCAAUUCCUGGCAUUGAGAAGAAAGAACCGCGGGGUUUAUGAGAAAGAACCGUGGGUUUUUUCUCUGUCUUUAAGUAUAAGAAAACUGGUAUAGUUAUGGUGGGUUCUAUGCUAGAGAAUAUAAAUUUUGAAUUUUCCAUUGCAAAUGGCAAACACAGCCAAUCUAAUGGUCGUUUUGUAUGAAAAGAAAAGAAUGAAUCUUGACUGCACAAAAUCUCAUGAUUCUUACUCAUUCACAUGGAAAGAAGGGAGAUGGACCUAGUUGCAGAUUCUCCCCUUCACAUCUGCCCUCCGUCACCUGUGAUUUGAGGUUGGUUAAAUUGUCUAGUACCACUACCAGUCAGUCUUUGCUUCAAGCUGCAGUAUAGUGUAACUACUGAAGAAUUGUAGUGAUUAUUGCAAGCUGAAAGCUUAAAAGUGAUACAACUGGUUGAGGUGAGUGACGAGAUGGACUCGAAGAUUGUUUGGCAGUGAACCUUAACACUUGUUUUGAGUUAAUUCGACGCACUAUGUAUGGAUGUCUCGUAGUUUUGCUCUGUAUUAGUAAGAAAAUUUGACCUUGAUAAAUUUAGUUGAUUGCUUGGGUUCAUGCUUUUUUUCUACUUUGACCUUGAUAAAUCACCAAUACAUGAUAUUUCCUAUUUUAAUCACCAACACAUGGUAACCAUGACCAGAAAGUUCUGGAAAUGUUGAAGCAGAGGUACUAGUUGCAAAAUGGAAGGCAAUUUCUGUUGUUAGACAGAAAGACAAGAGGAAUGCAUGCACGCAGACACAGUCAAGAGGAACAAGUUGGAAGCAAAAUGUCAUAAGUUUUACUGAAGGUGCCUAAACCACGCUCCGCACAAAUGAUAGACGGAAGAAGGCCAAACUGUCUCCACGACGACGUUUGCGAAAGGCUUCAGUUGGAGAUUAAUGCUAUGCGCAAGCGGCUAAUCCGUCAAGGAUUGAUAAUAAAGGCUAUGAGGGCUACUAAAAGGGACAGCUCGGACCCAUAUGAAACAAUUAGAGCAAUUAAGAGGGAUCCGCAAUACGCAACCGAUAAGGAACUGUCAGAUUAUUCUGAUGACAAAUAGGCAAUGAAGUAGGGAUUAUGUAUUUUGUUGGGCUAUUUGGUUUAAAUUAUUAUGUACGGAUUAUGUAGUUUGUUGACCUAUUCGGUUAAAAUUAUUAUGUAGGGAUUAUGUAUUUUGUCGGCCUUUUACGUCUUCUUAAUGGGACCUAUCCUCCAUUCAACCU